GAUGAACGCUAGCUACAGGCUUAACACAUGCAAGUCGAGGGACCGGCGCACGGGUGAGUAACACGUAUCCAACCUGCCCUUUACUCGGGGAUAGCCUUUCGAAAGAAAGAUUAAUACCCGAUGUAAAGGAUGGGGAUGCGUUCCAUUAGGUUGUUGGUGAGGUAACGGCUCACCAAGCCUUCGAUGGUUAGGGGUUCUGAGAGGAAGGCCCCCCACAUUGGGACUGGGACACGGCCCAAACUCCUACGGGAGGCAGCAGUGAGGAAUAUUGGUCAAUGGGCGGUAGCCUGAACCAGCCAAGUAGCGUGAAGGAUGAAGGGUUAUGGGUCGUAAACUUCUUUUAUAUAAGAAUAUGUAUUAUAUGAAUAAGGAUCGGCUAACUCAGUGCCAGCAGCCGCGGUAAUUC
rnacentral:rRNA from 1 species